rnacentral:rRNA from 1 species
GACGAACGCUGGCGGCAUGCCUAAUACAUGCAAGUCGAGCGAAUGACGAAGAAGCUUGCUUCUUCUGAUUUAGCGGCGGACGGGUGAGUAACACGUGGGCAACCUACCUUAUAGAUUGGGAUAACACAGGGAAACCUGUGCUAAUACCGAAUAAUACAUUUUCUUUCAUGAGAAGAUGUUGAAAGAUGGCCUCUCGCUAUCACUAUAAGAUGGGCCCGCGGCGCAUUAGCUAGUUGGUGAGGUAACGGCUCACCAAGGCAACGAUGCGUAGCCGACCUGAGAGGGUGAUCGGCCACACUGGGACUGAGACACGGCCCAG